GAAAAAGCAUGGAAGGGAAGAGUAGGCUGCCGGCGCUUUUACAGAGAAUCUGUGGUGGUGAGAACGGAUGAAGGAAAGGCUGCUGAACAUGGUCCCGGAGCUGCGCACCGAAAACCUGCUGGUUCAGGCUGCGACGGAUUCACCCGUUAACGUGAUAGACUAUCGAUGAAUCAUUUCUCGUCCGUAGUUGAUAAGGCCUGUGCCGUGAGGAACAGGCGAAUUUGGGGUGGUAACACGAAGCGAUGCUCUCGUCCCCGAA
rnacentral:ncRNA from 1 species